rnacentral:rRNA from 1 species
CAAGUAAUUAAGUGCAUGUGGUGGAUGCCUUGGCAGUCAGAGGCGAUGAAAGACGUGAUAGCCUGCGAAAAGCUCCGGGGAGGCGGCAAAUAUCCUUUGAUCCGGAGAUGUCUGAAUGGGGGAACCCACCUACUUUAAGGUAGGUAUUGCAACAUGAAUACAUAGUGUUGCAAGGCGAACGAGGGGAAGUGAAACAUCUCAGUACCCUUAGGAAAAGAAAUCAAUUGAGAUUCCCUCAGUAGCGGCGAGCGAACGGGGAUCAGCCCAUUAAGUUAUGUGUGUUUUAGUGGAACGCUCUGGGAAGUGCGAACGUAGAGGGUGAUAUUCCCGUACACGAAAGGGCACACAUAAUGAUGACGAGUAGGGCGAGGCACGUGAAACCUUGUCUGAAUAUGGGGGGACCAUCCUCCAAGGCUAAAUACUCCUGACUGACCGAUAGUGAACCAGUACCGUGAGGGAAAGGCGAAAAGAACCCCUGUGAGGGGAGUGAAAUAGAUCCUGAAACCGCAUGCAUACAAGCAGUGGGAGCACCUUCGUGGUGUGACUGCGUACCUUUUGUAUAAUGGGUCAGCGACUUAUAUUCAGUAGCGAGGUUAACCGUAUAGGGGAGCCGUAGAGAAAUCGAGUCUUAAUAGGGCGUUUAGUUGCUGGGUAUAGACCCGAAACCAGGCGAUCUAUCCAUGAGCAGGUUGAAGGUUGGGUAACACUAACUGGAGGACCGAACCCACUGUCGUUGAAAAGCCAGGGGAUGACUUGUGGAUAGGGGUGAAAGGCUAAUCAAGCCUGGUGAUAGCUGGUUCUCCCCGAAAGCUAUUUAGGUAGCGCCUCGGACGAAUACCAUAGGGGGUAGAGCACUGUUUCGGCUAGGGGGUCAUCCCGACUUACCAAACCGAUGCAAACUCCGAAUACCUAUGAGUACUAUCCGGGAGACAGACUGCGGGUGCUAACGUCCGUAGUCAAGAGGAAAACAAUCCAGACCGCCAGCUAAGGCCCCAAAAUCAUAGUUAAGUGGGAAACGAUGUGGGAAGGCAUAGACAGCUAGGAGGUUGGCUUAGAAGCAGCCACCCUUUAAAGAAAGCGUAAUAGCUCACUAGUCGAGUCGGCCUGCGCGGAAGAUGUAACGGGGCUAAAACUAUGUGCCGAAGCUGCGGAUGUAUACUUUGUAUACGUGGUAGGGGAGCGUUCUGUAAGCCGAUGAAGGUGUGUUGAGAAGCAUGCUGGAGGUAUCAGAAGUGCGAAUGCUGACGUGAGUAACGACAAAACGGGUGAAAAACCCGUUCGCCGAAAGACCAAGGGUUCCAGUCCAACGUUAAUCGGGGCUGGGUGAGUCGACCCCUAAGGCGAGGCCGAAAGGCGUAGUCGAUGGGAAAAUGGUUAAUAUUCCAUUACUUCUGUGUAAUGCGAUGAGAGGACGGAGAAGGCUAAAUCAGCCUGGCGUUGGUUGUCCAGGUGAAAGGAUGUAGGCAUGUAUCUUAGGCAAAUCCGGGGUACUCUAUGCUGAGAUCUGAUAGCAAGCUGUACUUGUACAGCGAAGUGGUUGAUGCCAUGCUUCCAGGAAAAGUCUCUAAGCUUCAGUUACACAGGAAUCGUACCCGAAACCGACACAGGUGGUCAGGUCGAGUAGACCAAGGCGCUUGAGAGAACUCUGCUGAAGGAACUAGGCAAAAUGGUACCGUAACUUCGGGAGAAGGUACGCUGUUGUUGGUGAUGGAACUCGCUUCCUGAGCUGACGACAGCCGCAGAAACCAGGCCGCUGCAACUGUUUAUUAAAAACAUAGCACUCUGCAAACACGAAAGUGGACGUAUAGGGUGUGAUGCCUGCCCGGUGCUGGAAGGUUAAUUGAUGGGGUUAGCGUAAGCGAAGCUCUUGAUCGAAGCCCCAGUAAACGGCGGCCGUAACUAUAACGGUCCUAAGGUAGCGAAAUUCCUUGUCGGGUAAGUUCCGACCUGCACGAAUGGCAUAAUGAUGGCGGCGCUGUCUCCAGCAGAGGCUCAGUGAAAUCGAAAUCGCUGUGAAGAUGCAGUGUACCCGCGGCUAGACGGAAAGACCCCGUGAACCUUUACUGCAGCUUGACACUGAACUUUGACCUUACUUGUGUAGGAUAGGUGGGAGGCUUUGAAGCUGGAACGCUAGUUCCAGUGGAGCCGUCCUUGAAAUACCACCCUGGUAAUGUUGAGGUUCUAACUCUGUCCCGUGAUCCGGGACGAGGACCGUGUCUGGUGGGUAGUUUGACUGGGGCGGUCUCCUCCUAAAGAGUAACGGAGGAGUACGAAGGUGCGCUCAGCGUGGUCGGAAAUCACGCGUAGAGUAUAAAGGCAAAAGCGCGCUUAACUGCGAGACCCACAAGUCGAGCAGGUACGAAAGUAGGUCUUAGUGAUCCGGUGGUUCUGUAUGGAAGGGCCAUCGCUCAACGGAUAAAAGGUACUCUGGGGAUAACAGGCUGAUACCGCCCAAGAGUUCAUAUCGACGGCGGUGUUUGGCACCUCGAUGUCGGCUCAUCUCAUCCUGGGGCUGAAGCAGGUCCCAAGGGUAUGGCUGUUCGCCAUUUAAAGAGGUACGCGAGCUGGGUUUAGAACGUCGUGAGACAGUUCGGUCCCUAUCUACCGUGGGCGCUGGAAAUUUGAGAGGAUCUGCUCCUAGUACGAGAGGACCAGAGUGGACGAACCUCUGGUGUACCGGUUGUGACGCCAGUCGCAUCGCCGGGUAGCUAUGUUCGGAAGGGAUAACCGCUGAAAGCAUCUAAGCGGGAAGCCUACCUCAAGAUAAGAUUUCCCUAGGACUUUAUGUCCUCUAAAGAGCCGUUCGAGACUAGGACGUUGAUAGGUUGGAUGUGGAAGCAUAGUGAUAUGUGAAGCUGACCAAUACUAA